AAUCAACGCUGGCGGCGUGCCUAACACAUGCAAGUCGAACGAGAAAACGGGGGCAACUCCGUGAGUAAAGUGGCGACCGGGUGAGUAACACGUGACUAACCUGCCCUUGAGUGGGGGAUAACCUCGGGAAACCGGGGCUAAUACCGCAUAACAUCCUCGGGAUGAGAAGCUGAGGAUCAAAGGAGCAAUUCGCUGAAGGAGGGGGUCGCGGCUGAUUAGCUAGUUGGCGGGGUAACGGCCCACCAAGGCGAUGAUCGGUAGCCGGCCUGAGAGGGCGCACGGCCACACUGGAACUGAAACACGGUCCAGACUCCUACGGGAGGCAGCAGUGGGGAAUUUUGCGCAAUGGGGGAAACCCUGACGCAGCAACGCCGCGUGGAGGAUGAAGUCCCUUGGGACGUAAACUCCUUUCGACCGGGACGAUUAUGACGGUACCGGUGGAAGAAGCCCCGGCUAACUCUGUGCCAGCCGCCGCGGUAAGAC
rnacentral:rRNA from 1 species